AGCUUCAUUCUAGAUUAGAAUGAGCCCUGUUGAUUGGUGUCCAAAAUUAGUUAACAUGGCUCAAAUUGAAACACAGGUCAUACUUUCAUCACAAUAAAUACAGUGGAAAAAAACAAGAACUGUAAUAUUU
rnacentral:snoRNA from 1 species